rnacentral:RNase_P_RNA from 1 species
AGGAUGUCGGGCGAUCGCAGGCGUAUUUAUACGCUUGAGGAAAGUCCGAGCACCAUAGGGCAGGGUGCAGGUGAAAUGCCUGUGAAGGCGACUCUAGGGAAAGUGCAACAGAGAUAUACCGCGAAACCGCAUCUUCGGGUGCGGCCGCAAGGAUGGAAAGGUGAGGUAAGAGCUCACCAGCGGCUUGGCGACUUGUCCGCUAUGUAAACCCCACCUGGUGCAAGAUUGAAUAAGGCAAAUGCGGCUGCCCGUCGCGCCUUUGAAUAUCGCUACAGCCAACUGGCAACUUUUGGCGCAGAUAGAUGAUCGCUCAAGACAGAACUCGGCUUACAGACA